rnacentral:rRNA from 1 species
UACGUAGGGUGCAAGCGUUAAUCGGAAUCACUGGGCGUAAAGCGCACGUAGGCGGACUCUUAAGUCGGGGGUGAAAUCCUGGAGCUCAACUCCAGAACUGCCUUCGAUACUGAGAGUCUUGAGUCCGGGAGAGGUGAGUGGAACUGCGAGUGUAGAGGUGAAAUUCGUAGAUAUUCGCAAGAACACCAGUGGCGAAGGCGGCUCACUGGCCCGGUACUGACGCUGAGGUGCGAAAGCCAGGGGAGCAAACGGG